UCAAAGUUGGUUUAUUAAUGUAUUAUUUUCUCUAGUAAUUCCUUGUUAAAAAUGUUUAAUGUUAGUUAUGAAAGCAUGAAAGUAACUUAUUAAUGUUAGUUGUAGUUGUAUCAAGUAAAAUGUUUAAUAUUGUUGUUGUUGUUGAAAUUUAAUAUUUAACUAUUCUACUGAUUUUGUUUAUUUAUUGUUAUUGUUUUUGUUGGUGAGAUUUAACGUUUAAAAAUUCUAUGGAUUUUGUUAUUGUUGUUGUUUUUUUGGUUGUUGAGAUUUAAUAUUUAAG
rnacentral:lncRNA from 1 species